UACGUAGGGGGCUAGCGUUGUCCGGAAUCAUUGGGCGUAAAGAGCGCGUAGGCGGCCAGAUAAGUCCGGUGUGAAAGUCACAGGCUCAACCUGUGAAUGCCGCUGGAAACUGUCUGGCUAGAGUGCAGAAGGGGCAACUGGAAUUCUCGGUGUAGCGGUGAAAUGCGUAGAUAUCGAGAGGAACACCAGUGGCGAAGGCGAGUCUCUGGACGACUCCUGACACUGAGGCACGAAAGCUAGGGGAGCAAACAGG
rnacentral:rRNA from 1 species